rnacentral:rRNA from 1 species
UACACAUGCAAGUCGAACGGCAGCACGGGAGCAAUCCUGGUGGCGAGUGGCGAACGGGUGAGUAAUAUAUCGGAACGUGCCCAGUCGUGGGGGAUAACGCAGCGAAAGCUGUGCUAAUACCGCAUACGAUCUAUGGAUGAAAGCGGGGGAUCGCAAGACCUCGCGCGAUUGGAGCGGCCGAUAUCAGAUUAGCUAGUUGGUGGGGUAAAAGCCCACCAAGGCGACGAUCUGUAGCUGGUCUGAGAGGACGACCAGCCACACUGGAACUGAGACACGGUCCAGACUCCUACGGGAGGCAGCAGUGGGGAAUUUUGGACAAUGGGCGAAAGCCUGAUCCAGCAAUGCCGCGUGCAGGACGAAGGCCUUCGGGUUGUAAACUGCUUUUGUACGGAACGAAACGGUCUCUUUUAAUAAAGGGGGCUAAUGACGGUACCGUAAGAAUAAGCACCGGCUAACUACGUGCCAGCAGCCGCGGUAAUACGUAGGGUGCGAGCGUUAAUCGGAAUUACUGGGCGUAAAGCGUGCGCAGGCGGUUAUAUAAGACAGAUGUGAAAUCCCCGGGCUCAACCUGGGACCUGCAUUUGUGACUGUAUAGCUAGAGUACGGUAGANGGGGAUGGAAUUCCGCGUGUAGCANUGAAAUGCGUANAUAUGCCGGAGGAACACCGAUGGCGAAGGCAAUCCCCUGGACCUGUACUUGACCUCAUGCACNAAAGCGUGGGGAGCAAACAGGAUUANAUCCCUGGUANUCCACCCCUAAACGAUGUCAACUGGUUGUUGGGUCUUNACUUGCUCAUNACCAAANCUNACNCGUGAANUUNACCCCCUGGGGAGUNCGGCCCCAAGGUUNAAACUUAAAGGAAUUGACGGGG